UACGGAGGGGGCUAGCGUUGUUCGGAAUUACUGGGCGUAAAGGGCGCGUAGGCGGUGCGAUCAGUCAGGCGUGAAAGGCCCGGGCUCAACCCGGGGACUGCGCUUGAUACUGUUGCGCUGUGAGUCCGGGAGAGGAUGGCGGAAUUCCCAGUGUAGAGGUGAAAUUCGUAGAUAUUGGGAAGAACACCGGUGGCGAAGGCGGCUCACUGGCUCGGUACUGACGCUGAGGUGGCGAAAGCGUGGGGAGCAAACAGG
rnacentral:rRNA from 1 species